AAGGUGGCCUGUGAGGGUUGCUGGAGGUAUCAGAAGUGCGAAUGCUGACAUAAGUAACGAUAAAGCGGGUGAAAAGCCCGCUCGCCGGAAGACCAAGGGUUCCUGUCCAACGUUAAUCGGGGCAGGGUGAGUCGACCCCUAAGGCGAGGCCGAAAGGCGUAGUCGAUGGGAAACGGGUUAAUAUUCCCGUACUUGGUGUUACUGCGAAGGGGGGACGGAGAAGGCUAUGUUGGCCGGGCGACGGUUGUCCCGGUUUAAGCGUGUAGGCUGGUUUUCCAGGCAAAUCCGGAAAAUCAAGGCUGAGGCGUGACGACGAGGCACUACGGUGCUGAAGCAACAAAUGCCCUGCUUCCAGGAAAAGCCUCUAAGCAUCAGGUAACAUCAAAUCGUACCCCAAACCGACACAGGUGGUCAGGUAGAGAAUACCAAGGCGCUUGAGAGAACUCGGGUGAAGGAACUAGGCAAAAUGGUGCCGUAACUUCGGGAGAAGGCACGCUGACAUGUAGGUGAAGUGAUUUACUCAUGGAGCUGAAGUCAGUCGAAGAUACCAGCUGGCUGCAACUGUUUAUUAAAAACACAGCACUGUGCAAACACGAAAGUGGACGUAUACGGUGUGACGCCUGCCCGGUGCCGGAAGGUUAAUUGAUGGGGUCAGCGCAAGCGAAGCUCCUGAUCGAAGCCCCGGUAAACGGCGGCCGUAACUAUAACGGUCCUAAGGUAGCGAAAUUCCUUGUCGGGUAAGUUCCGACCUGCACGAAUGGCGUAAUGAUGGCCAGGCUGUCUCCACCCGAGACUCAGUGAAAUUGAACUCGCUGUGAAGAUGCAGUGUACCCGCGGCAAGACGGAAAGACCCCGUGAACCUUUACUAUAGCUUGACACUGAACAUUGAGCCUUGAUGUGUAGGAUAGGUGGGAGGCUUUGAAGCGUGGACGCCAGUCUGCGUGGAGCCGACCUUGAAAUACCACCCUUUAAUGUUUGAUGUUCUAACGUGGACCCGUAAUCCGGGUUGCGGACAGUGUCUGGUGGGUAGUUUGACUGGGGCGGUCUCCUCCUAAAGAGUAACGGAGGAGCACGAAGGUUGGCUAAUCCUGGUCGGACAUCAGGAGGUUAGUGCAAUGGCAUAAGCCAGCUUGACUGCGAGCGUGACGGCGCGAGCAGGUGCGAAAGCAGGUCAUAGUGAUCCGGUGGUUCUGAAUGGAAGGGCCAUCGCUCAACGGAUAAAAGGUACUCCGGGGAUAACAGGCUGAUACCGCCCAAGAGUUCAUAUCGACGGCGGUGUUUGGCACCUCGAUGUCGGCUCAUCACAUCCUGGGGCUGAAGUAGGUCCCAAGGGUAUGGCUGUUCGCCAUUUAAAGUGGUACGCGAGCUGGGUUUAGAACGUCGUGAGACAGUUCGGUCCCUAUCUGCCGUGGGCGCUGGAGAACUGAGGGGGGCUGCUCCUAGUACGAGAGGACCGGAGUGGACGCAUCACUGGUGUUCGGGUUGUCAUGCCAAUGGCACUGCCCGGUAGCUAAAUGCGGAAGAGAUAAGUGCUGAAAGCAUCUAAGCACGAAACUUGCCCCGAGAUGAGUUCU
rnacentral:rRNA from 1 species